CGAUGGCGUCAUUUGUGUAGAAAACCACGAGCAGCCGAAAUUGAGUGCGAUUAUUACAUUCCGUGAAAGCUGAACCAACAAAGAAACAUCAUUGUUCUAGCCAGUUUGCUUAUAUUAACUUUUAGGAAAACCAAGAGGUUGAUAACAAUGGCUGAUCUGCAUAUAAUGACUGCUAGUUAUUGGCUGGUAUGCAGUGAAAGGGAGCUAAAAAGGAGUAAAAAGUUCAUAUCAGCCAGGUGAGAAUUAAUUUCUUCUUUUUUGUGUGUUAUACAUAUGUAAUUCUUUUCUUUUGCUGCUUCAAAUCUUGUGUAUUUGAAAAUUUUCAGUCUAAUAUUUGGCAAUGUUAUAGGUAGUGUGGUUUAAAUAAACCAGUGUUAAGGAAUAUCCAGUAAUGGCAUGACAUCAUGAGAGUUUGGCAUACCGACAUUCAGAUGAUUAAUGAUGAAACUGAAGACCUCAAGUGAAAGGCAUGGAAAAUUAUCCUGUUCCCAUUAACCUGGAAAAGAGGAGGGAUGCCACAAUAUUGAUAAUAGACUUUUGUCAAUUUGAGAAGCAAAGAUGUAAAAAAAAAAAAAAAAAAAAAAAUAAAUAAAUAAUGCUGAAAUUAUAAUUCAUGUAUUUGUUAAAAAUACUGUUCACUGUACAUACAUGUAUAUUUUUUUUAACUUAUUUGGAAAUACAUGAAGUAAUUCAUAUUAAAACUGAAUGUAUGAGUUUUCAUGAUUUUUAUCAAUAAAGCUUACCAUAUUUAUUGUACAAA